GGACACUCCUCUCUAUCCUGGAGAUAAUUGGGAAGUAACUCCAUUAUCUCCGAGGAGAAAAAUGCAUAGAAAUCUACAAUUUACAAAAUACCGAAUGAAGCAUAUACAUUCAACAUAUCCCCAGAUAGCUUAGAUCUGAGCGCACAUUAUUACCAAAUAGCGCUCAGAUCACAUACAUACAGUUCAAUCGCCAUGGAGCCAAAGUCUUUAACAUAGUCUUUUGUUAUACGAAUGGGCUCCAUGGGAUAGCUAUCUGGGGUGACUCCGUUCGUAAGAAAAAGUACAGAACAGUACAUUGUUUGUAUGAACUGAGAAAUAGAAGAAGGGAGGUCGGCGGCUUCAGCGGUGUUCGUGAGAAAAUAGUGUCCGUUUCUAGUUCCAUGAAAUCGUCGACGAACACUGCGGUCGGUCAAAUCUUUCAAUGACUGUAACCCCCGAACCCCUGGUCCGAUCUGGGUGAAUUUUGAGUAUGUUGCUCACCCAGAUCAGACCUACCAGGGGACCCCUUAUUUAAACCUGUACCCCCUGUAUUUAGGGGACAUCCAUAAAGUGGAGAAAACUCUGUCCCCAUUAAUCUGUUUAAGGGCUAAUCUAAGGGGAGGAGAGGGAUGGGAGGUGACCAUGUUAUGAUUGGCUACUGUACUAAUUAUGAAAGUUACCUCCCUUGCAUGGGAGAAAUGCAUAAAAGCAGACCUGUGAAUAAAGCUGACAGUUGAC